rnacentral:rRNA from 1 species
GAUGAACGCUAGCGGCAGGCUUAAUACAUGCAAGUCGAGGGGCAGCAUGAUUGUAGCAAUACAAUUGAUGGCGACCGGCAAACGGGUGCGGAACACGUACAGAACCUUCCUUCGAGCGGGGAAUAGCCCAGAGAAAUUUGGAUUAAUACCCCAUAGUACAACGGAGUGGCAUCACUUUGUUGUUAAAGAUUUAUCACUUGAAGAUGGCUGUGCGGCUGAUUAGGUGGUUGGCGGGGUAACGGCCCACCAAGCCUGCGAUCAGUAACUGGUGUGAGAGCACGACCAGUCACACGGGCACUGAGACACGGGCCCGACUCCUACGGGAGGCAGCAGUAAGGAAUAUUGGUCAAUGGACGAAAGUCUGAACCAGCCAUGCCGCGUGGAGGAUGAAGGUCCUCUGGAUUGUAAACUUCUUUUAUAUGGGACGGAAAAAGGGUUUUCUAACUCGUCUGACGGUACCAUAUGAAUAAGCACCGGCUAACUCCGUGCCAGCCGCCGCGGUAAAAC